GACGAACGCUGGCGGCGUGCUUAACACAUGCAAGUCGAACGGAAAGGCCCUGCUUUUGUGGGGUGCUCGAGUGGCGAACGGGUGAGUAACACGUGAGUAACCUGCCCUUGACUUUGGGAUAACUUCAGGAAACUGGGGCUAAUACCGGAUAGGAGCUCCUGCUGCAUGGGGGGAGUUGGAAAGUUUCGGCGGUUGGGGAUGGACUCGCGGCUUAUCAGCUUGUUGGUGGGGUAGUGGCUUACCAAGGCUUUGACGGGUAGCCGGCCUGAGAGGGUGACCGGCCACAUUGGGACUGAGAUACGGCCCAGACUCCUACGGGCGGCAGCAGUGGGGAAUAUUGCACAAUGGGCGGAAGCCUGAUGCAGCAACGCCGCGUGCGGGAUGACGGCCUUCGGGUUGUAAACCGCUUUCGCCUGUGACGAAGCGUGAGUGACGGUAAUGGGUAAAGAAGCACCGGCUAACUACGUG
rnacentral:rRNA from 1 species